UAAGAAGUCUGCUCAAGAAAGUGGCGCCAACGUUUCAUAGCCUAAGGCGGUCCACAUGCAAAAGUGGACGAGGUCGCAAGCCAUAAGAAGGCCGAGACGGAGAAGAUGGCACAUCAGUAGAUGCAUCCAGAACACAUGAACGACGUGUUUAAAAGUGAGGCAAAUGUGGAAGAAUACGAGCAAUAAUCCCCGAGAUAAGCUCAGGUUAUGGAGACAAGGAAGUCACCGAUGAUGAAGGUUUAAAAUCCCGUGAUAAGCGAAGUGAGGAAAUCAUAGGAGAUGAUGGUGUUGAAUCUGUAAUAAUUGGAGAAGCAGGAGCAGUACGAGGAAUGGAAUAGGGCUCAACUAUAGUGAUAAGAAUGUCGGGAAAAGUGAGGUAACACAUCCUCCACUAAAAAGGUCGGGGAUGAUGGUCACACGUAGCAGGGACGAGACUCAUUAAAAGUCAUACUGUGAGAAAUAGCACCCGAUGACCAACCUGAUCCCAACAACAAUAUCUCUUAUGGUCAUUGUUGUAUCCUAUGAACACUCAACAUACUAAGUAGUAAGUUUGGAACAUUGACGAGAGGCAGUAAGGGCACAUCAAACACAACCAAACAAUUGAAGCGCUGAAUAAUCUGGAAACGAUCAAAUAGACUCUUGAAAGGAGAUGACCAUGGUGGAAGUGGAGACGCAUUCAACCCAAAGGUGUGGCGUAAGAGAGGCAGUGACCAUCCAAAAGUGUGGCGGAAGAGAGAACAGUGAAAUUGAACCUAUGAGCCGUCUCAAUAGUUGACGAUGCUUGCCCUCAGCCAUGCCAUUUCUGAGCAUGAGCACCAAGAUAAGAGAACUGAGCAAGAGCACCCUGCUCAACAAGGAUUGAGCGCAACAUCUUGGAGAUUUAGUGUCCACCGAGUCAUCACAGAAUACAAGAAUAGGCGGUGAGAGAUACUAUGUUGGCAAACAGAAGCCACAUCGAAAAGUGUGCCAAAAGUGGUCAUCUGGGCCUUACAGGAGCAAAUGUCUCAUCGUAGUCAUGACUAUAUGUUCUCACCACUAGAUGAGCUUUGUAAAGCUCUAGAGAAACAUCAUAGCCUCACCCUUUGAUGUCAUCACAUGCUGCCAUUAUGGAUGAAAAACCGUCAUGAUAAGAAGUCGUCUUGCGAAGAGCACCACAAUAACUAACCAUAGCAGGCGAGCUCGAAAGCCAUAAGUAGGCUGAUCUGGAGCUAUGUGUUGCCAACAGAAGAAUACAUAGUAAUCGAGGGAGUUGACUCAUUAGAAGAAUCCACAAGACGCGAACAGUGAGUGUAGUAAAGUCAAGGAAGACGAGCAAAAGAAGGAACAUGAAAAGAGAAACUGCCAAGAGCGCCUCGACUAUCGACAGGUAGGGAAGUUACCAGGAUAAGAGAACUGAGCAAGAGCACCGUGCUCAACAAGGAUUGAAUGCAACAUCUUGGAGAUUUAUUCUCCACCAGAGUCAUCACGGAAUACAAGAAUAGGCGUAGGGAACUUGUUGUGUGCCAUGGCGUCAAAACGCUUACACAUAUAAGACCUCACUACGAAAGGAAAUAAAGUAUAUCCAGGUGUGUUGAGAGAAGUCAUCUAUAAAUAUAGUACUAGCGAUGACCUCCUUUCGAGGCGAAAGGAGGUGGGCCCCAGACAUCAGAGUGAACAAGGUUGAAAGGGUUGUUGAGACACUGUCUCGCUAUGAGCAUAAGGUAAGUAUAGCUGUUUACCAAGCCGACAACCCAGACAGUUUAGAGACAUCAUCCGAGACUGAUCCAAGAAGACCAUGUCAAACUAAGGAUGCGAGAUGAGAGCCACACAAGUGACCCCAGGCGACGAUGGCACUUCUAAGCAUAACUGGUAGACAAGGUAACAGAGGUGGAGAGACUAGCGACUGUAGCAGCAGAGUCACUUGAUCCAGCAUCCUACGUGCCUGUGCGCUCUCCGUUACCCGCCGAUCCGGCUUGGUGUGCUUCUCCUGUUUGUGGGUUGUGUGCCACGCACUUGAUUAAGCACCCCACGUUCUCCUACAGUGCGCCCUUGACCCUGGCUUUAGGUAGCGCCGUGUCCUCGGCUUGCCGUGCAUAAUCCAGGUAUGCGCCAACUGUCCGAGCUCCUGCUCACCAUUGGUGUUGCUCGAGCGUGGGUUCUGGUGUCGCCCAUAAAGGGAACACGGGAUGUGGGAUUGAGACAGUUCACAUAGCAACCCACAACAAGGCAAAGGAUGCCCAUCCAACUGGCAGGGAGCGGAGGUGGACCCAAAAAGGUGGAUGUUGACUCCAAGGAGUCUCAACAGGACGCUUGUCAGUAAGAGGAGCAAGAAGAUCCUGGAUAUACUUCUCUUAGCAAAUAAAGAAGCCAUCAAAGGUAGACUCAGGGAAGUAGCGAUGAGGACCAAGGUCAGACAUAAGAAACUCACUGUGACGAGCCUUCACAAAGGCAAUGUACUUAAGAGUCGUGUAGGAUCAUGAGCACCCGUUGAAAAACGAGCCUUAUUAACCACAGAGACAACGCUCAAACCAGUCAUGAGGGGUUUGCUAAAGAGCAUAUAGAUAAUGCCGAAGGCGACAAACCAUGCCGGCUGGAAAAGAAUACCCAAGUGGUGGCUACAUGUAGGAUUGUUGACAUCAAGCUGAGAGAGAGAGAGAGAGAGAGAGAGAGAGAGAGAGAGAGAGAGAGAGAGAGAGAGAGAGAGAGAGAGAGAGAGAGAGAGAGAGAGAGAGAGAGAGAGAGAGNNNNNNNNNNNNNNNNNNNNNNNNNNNNNNNNNNNNNNNNNNNNNNNNNNNNNNNNNNNNNNNNNNNNNNNNNNNNNNNNNNNNNNNNNNNNNNNNNNNNGAGAGAGAGAGAGAUAGAUAGAUAGAUAGAGAGCCUAUGUUGGCAAACAGAAGCACAUCGAAAAGUGUGCCAAAAGUGGUCAUCUGGGCCAUACAGGAGCAAAUGUCUCAUCCUAGUCAUGACUAUAUGUUCUCACCAGUAGACGAGCUUUGUAAAGCUCUAGAGAAACAUCAUAGUCUCACCCUUGUGGGCCUAGUUACAAGUAAUGAGACGAGCAAGAGGAGGAAGGGAAAUGAGAUUCCACUAGCCGACGAGGUGAAGAGCAUUUGAUGCCAUCACAUGCUGCCAUUGUGGAUGAAAAAAAUGUCAUGAUAAGAAGUCUUCUUGUGAAGAGCACCGCAAUAACUAACCAUAGCAGUCAAUAGGCAGAAGCGGACGAGCUCGAAAGCCAUAAGUAGGCUGAUCUGGAGCUAUGUGUUGCCAACAGAAGAAGACAUAGUAGUUGAGGGAGAUGACUCAUUAUAAGAAUCCACAACACGCGAACAAUGAGUGUAGUAAAGUCAAGGAAGAUGAGCAAAAGAAGGAACAUGCAAGACAAACUGCCAAGAGUGCCUCGACUAUCGACUGGCAGGGAAGUUACAUUGACAGUAAAAACAUGAACAUGAGAAUCUAGAUGUGGAAUACCCAAGUGGUGGCUGCACGUAAAACCCCUGACAAAAUUCACCAUUAAAAAGUCUUUCUUAACAUCAAGCCGAGACGGAGUGACGAAUAAAGGCCGCAACAAGAUGUGUGUGAACAAUUGUCGUAUGGCCCGCAUGAGCUGAAACUCUCAUCGUAAUUAGGACCAUGAUUCUACUGAAAGCCACGAGCCACAAGACGAGCUUUGUAAUGUUCAAGAGAACCAUCAGAGCGAGUCUUAACCUUGUAGACGCACCAAGUAAUGGGACGAACACGAGGAGGAAGGGACACAAUAUCCUCUACCAUGGCAAGGCGCCAUUUGGUAUGAAUAACAUCAAGAUAAGAAGUCUGCUCAAGAAAGUGGCGCCAACGUUUCAUAGCCUAAGGCGGUCCACAUGCAAAAGUGGAAGAGGUCGCAAGCCAUAAGAAGGCCGAGACGGAGAAGAUGGCACAUCAGUAGAUGCAUCCACAACACACGAACGACGUGUAUAAAAGUGAGGCAAAUGUGGAAGAAUACGAGCAAUAAUCCCCGAGAUAAGCUCAGGUUAUGGAGACAAGGAAGUCACCGGUGAUGAAGGUUUAGAAUCCCGUGAUAAGCGAAGUGAGGAAAUCAUAGGAGAUGAUGGUGCUGAAUCUGUAAUAAUUGGAGAAGCAGGAGCAGUACGAGGAAUGGAAUAGGGCUCAACGAUAGUGAUAAGAAUGUCGGGAAAAGUGAGGUAACACAUCCUCCACUAAAAAGGUCGGGGAUGAUGGUCACACGUAGCAGGGACGAGACUCACUAAAAGUCAUACCGUGAGAAAUAGUCACCCGAUGACCAACCUGAUCCCAACAACAAUAUCUCUUAUGCUCAUUGUUGUAUCCUAUGAACACUCAACAUACUAAGUAGUAAGUUUGGUACAUUGACGAGAGGCAGUAAGGGCACAUCAAACACAACCAAACAAUUGAAGCGCUGAAUAAUCUGGAAACGAUCAAAUAGACUCUCGAAAGGAGAUGACCAUGGUGGAAGUGGAGACGCAUUCAACCCAAAAGUGUGGCGUAAGAGAGGCAGUGACCAUCCAAAAGUGUGGCGGAAGAGAGAGCAGUGACGCUGAACCUAUGAGCCGUCUCAAUAGUUGACGAUGCUUGCCCUCAGCCAUGCCAUUUUUGAGCAUGAGCACCACGAUAAGAGAACUGAGCAAGAGCACCCUGCUCAACAAGGAUUGAGCGCACCAUCUUGGAGAUUUAGUCUCCGCCGAGUCAUCACAGAAUACAAGAAUAGGCGUAGAGAGAUACUAUGUUAGCAAACAGAAGCCACAUCGAAAAGUGUGCCAAAAGUGGUCAUCUGGGCCAUACAGGAGCAAAUGUCUCAUCGUAGUCAUGACUAUAUGUUCUCACCACUAGAUGAGCUUUGUAAAGCUCUAGAGAAACAUCAUAGCCUCACCCUUUGAUGUCAUCACAUGCUGCCAUUAUGGAUGAAAAAACGUCAUGAUAAGAAGUCGUCUUGCGAAGAGCACCACAAUAACUAACCAUAGCAGGCGAGCUCGAAAGCCAUAAGUAGGCUGAUCUGGAGCUAUGUGUUGCCAACAGAAGAAUACAUAGUAAUCGAGGGAGUUGACUCAUUAGAAGAAUCCACAACACGCGAACAGUGAGUGUAGUAAAGUCAAGGAAGACGAGCAAAAGAAGGAACAUGAAAAGAGAAACUGCCAAGAGCGCCUCGACUAUCGACAGGUAGGGAAGUUACCAGGAUAAGAGAACUGAGCAAGAGCACCGUGCUCAACAAGGAUUGAAUGCAACAUCUUGGAGAUUUAUUCUCCACCAGAGUCAUCACGGAAUACAAGAAUAGGCGUAGGGAACUUGUUGUGUGCCAUGGCGUCAAAACGCUUACACAUAUAAGACCUCACUACGAAAGGAAAUAAAGUAUAUCCAGGUGUGUUGAGAGAAGUCAUCUAUAAAUAUAGUACUAGCGAUGACCUCCUUUCGAGGCGAAAGGAGGUGGGCCCCAGACAUUAGAGUGAACAAGGUUGAAAGGGUUGUUGAGACACUGUCUCGCUAUGAGCAUAAGGUAAGUAUAGCUGUUUACCAAGCCGAC
rnacentral:lncRNA from 1 species